rnacentral:rRNA from 1 species
GAUGAACGCUAGCGGCAGGCCUAAUACAUGCAAGUCGAGGGGUAGAGAAGAGCUUGCUUUUCUUGAGACCGGCGCACGGGUGCGUAACGCGUAUGCAACCUACCUUUAUCAGGGGGAUAGCCUCUCGAAAGAGAGAUUAACACCGCAUAAAAACACAGUACGGCAUCGUACAAUGUUCAAAUAUUUAUAGGAUAAAGAUGGGCAUGCGUGACAUUAGCUAGUUGGUGAGGUAAGGGCUCACCAAGGCGACGAUGUCUAGGGGAUCUGAGAGGAUGACCCCCCACACUGGUACUGAGACACGGACCAGACUCCUACGGGAGGCAGCAGUAAGGAAUAUUGGUCAAUGGGGGCAACCCUGAACCAGCCAUGCCGCGUGCAGGAAGACGGCCCUACGGGUUGUAAACUGCUUUUAUACGGGAAUAAACCCCUUUACGUGUAAAGGGUUGAAUGUACUGUAAGAAUAAGGAUCGGCUAACUCCGUGCCAGCCGCCGCUGUAAGAC